GAAGGCUGGAAUGGCUAAUAUCAGAAAAAAUAGAUUUACAAAUGCUACUGGUGAGAAAGAGGGACAUUUUAUGAUAAAAGGAUCAUCAGUUAGGAAGAUGUAACAAUUAUAAACCCAUAUGCACCUAAUCACAGACACCCAAAUACAUGAAGCAAAAAGCCACAGAAAUGGAGAAACAGAUAACUCAACAAUAAUAGUCAGAAAUGUCAACUCCUCACUUUCAACAACUGAUCAAAAAAUUAGGCAGAAGGUCACCAAGGAACAGGAAGUUGAACCAUACAAGCCUAUUAGACCUACCAGAUCUCUAGAACACUCUACCCAACAGGAACAGAACCUGUGUUCUUCUCAAGCAUACUGGAGACAUUCUCCAGGACAGACUGUAU
rnacentral:lncRNA from 10 species